rnacentral:tRNA from 1 species
ACCCGGCUGGCUUAGUUGGUAGAGCAUGUAACUCUUGAUUUCACGGUUAUGAAUUCAAGCCCCAUGCCAGAUG